rnacentral:lncRNA from 1 species
UUCUUUUUUUUGCAUCAGAGACGGAACUUGUUAAAAGAAGAUGCUUCCCUGACACCAAAUGAAAGAAAGAAAGAAAGAAAGAAAGAAAACUCAGUUGAGGCUGUUGAAAAGAACUGUAAAAGGGACAGGUCUGCGGUGAGCAGGAUGCAUUUCUCCUCCUCAGGGCCCUGUGUUUAGCAGCUCUUUGACCAGGCCUGACCUCCAGAGCACCAGGGGAGCAAAGUUUGGUUGCUGGAACUCAAGACAGCACAGAAGGCCCUGGGGACCCGGCUGCCGCCUUCCUGGGCCAAAGAUGUAGCCCUGGGUAGAAGAAGAUGCAAGACAUCUUUCCAUCCAGCAAUGCCAGGCUGAUGGUGGCUUCCUCCCCUCUCUCUCUUUCACUUACUGAUCUUCCUUUUACAGUUCAUUGACAAUUCUGCUCAUGCAUUGAAAUAAUCCGAGCCUGAAGUGGGACUUGCAUCUUUCUUGAUUUUGCUGAACCCCACAAACUGUGUUCAUUUGCCAUUGAGAUCAUCUUGGCCUGGAGGACAGUCUUCUGAUUGCUGGGGUUUUAAGUGAGGAAGGGCGAAGGGGCAGCCGUCCCCGGAGAGGGGACUGCUGUGAGGAGAUCCCCUGGGAAGAAGAUGGAAAGUGAAAUUCAGAAUGACCCAGGGUGGUGGCUGUCCCUGGGGCCUUUAUCUGCCUGGUGCCCCUCGCUCCUCCUGGGCGCUGAUGGACGGACGCCUGACGACUGUUCUUACCAUGUGACAUACACAGCACCCUGUUUCCCUCACAGCUGGGCCUCCCAUUCAGUUUCCUUUGUCCUAGGUCUCUGGCCUCCUUUGCGAAGUCUCAAGGUGACAAGAAGAGCUGGGUGACCAAGAGCUGCCUGGUCUCCCAUGAGCCAAGGACCUGGGCUUAGGGAUCUCUCCCUACCCUCCUGGUGGAAGAAUGAAAUAUCAGCAGCUUAAAUAAAUAGAUUCAGUUAAUUUAAAAUAAAAACCACAUUGACAGGGUCACACAGCGCUAUACUAGAGCCUGAAGACUAUAAGAAAGCAGUUGUGUCAACCAUAUUUUUAUUUAAAAUGUUGGAUAUUUUGUUCAUUGUUGAUUUUCUUGGCAAAAAAAAAAUAGUGCAUGAACAUAUUAUUCUCUU